CUUAUACUUAAGCGCUUAUAUAAAUCUUACUCGUAGGCAAGUUGCAAGUCCGCUAGACCGACUCCUAAAAGCGUCUAUGAGGUACGUCCUGCUUAGGCACGCUUUGUCGUAGAAGAUAAGCUCAAUAGCAUAAACUAGUUCAAAAAAUUAAUUUCAAGGAAGAAGACGUUCCAUGGCUACCUCAAAAAAUAAACUAAAAUAUUCAUAAAGCUGGCGAAUUUACUAAUUUCUGAAGUGAAAAAAAAAUGUAGAGAGCUCUAAAUGUUUAGAAUUUAAUCACC